rnacentral:rRNA from 1 species
GAUGAACGCUGGCGGCGUGCCUAAUACAUGCAAGUCGAGCGAACGGACGAGAAGCUUGCUUCUCUGAUGUUAGCGGCGGACGGGUGAGUAACACGUGGAUAACCUACCUAUAAGACUGGGAUAACUUCGGGAAACCGGAGCUAAUACCGGAUAAUAUUUUGAACCGCAUGGUUCAAAAGUGAAAGACGGUCUUGCUGUCACUUAUAGAUGGAUCCGCGCUGCAUUAGCUAGUUGGUAAGGUAACGGCUUACCAAGGCAACGAUGCAUAGCCGACCGGAGAGGGUGAUCGGCCACACUGGAACUGAGACACGGUCCAGACUCCUACGAGAGGCAGCAGUAGGGAAUCUUCCGCAAUGGGCGAAAGCCUGACGGAGCAACGCCGCGUGAGUGAUGAAGGUCUUCGGAUCGUAAAACUCUGUUAUUAGGGAAGAACAUAUGUGUAAGUAACUGUGCACAUCUUGACGGUACCUAAUCAGAAAGCCACGGCUAACUACGUG